rnacentral:rRNA from 1 species
UACGGAGGGUGCAAGCGUUAUCCGGAUUCACUGGGUUUAAAGGGUGCGUAGGUGGAGUGGUAAGUCAGUGGUGAAAUCUCCAAGCUUAACUUGGAAACUGCCGUUGAUACUAUCAUUCUUGAAUAUCGUGGAGGUAAGCGGAAUAUGUCAUGUAGCGGUGAAAUGCUUAGAUAUGACAUAGAACACCAAUUGCGUAGGCAGCUUACUACACGAUCAUUGACGCUGAGGCACGAAAGCGUGGGGAGCAAACAGG